UACGGAGGGUGCAAGCGUUAUCCGGAUUCACUGGGUUUAAAGGGUGCGUAGGUGGGCAAGUAAGUCAGUGGUGAAAUCUCCGGGCUUAACCCGGAAACUGCCAUUGAUACUAUUCGUCUUGAAUACUGUGGAGGUCAGCGGAAUAUGUCAUGUAGCGGUGAAAUGCUUAGAUAUGACAUAGAACACCAAUUGCGAAGGCAGCUGGCUACACAAAUAUUGACACUGAGGCACGAAAGCGUGGGGAUCAAACAGG
rnacentral:rRNA from 1 species